UCGAGGAUCUUCGGCAAUGGGCGCAAGCCUGACCGAGCGACGCCGCGUGCGCGAUGAAGGCCUUCGGGUUGUAAAGCGCUGUCGAGGGGGAGGAAAGCCGGGUCACACCGGCCUGACCUAUCCCUGGAGGAAGCACGGGCUAAGUUCGUGCCAGCAGCCGCGGUAAGACGAACCGUGCGAACGUUGUUCGGAUUCACUGGGCUUAAAGGGCGCGUAGGCGGGCGGUCAAGUCCGGGGUGAAAUCUUCCGGCCCAACCGGAAAAUAGCCCGGGAUACUGGCCGCCUCGAGGGGGGUAGGGGCAUGCGGAACUUCCGGUGGAGCGGUGAAAUGCGUAGAUAUCGGAAGGAACGCCGGCGGCGAAAGCGGCGUGCUGGACCCCCCCUGACGCUGAGGCGCGAAAGCCAGGGGAGCAAACGGGAUUAGAUACCCCCGUAGUCC
rnacentral:rRNA from 1 species